rnacentral:tRNA from 1 species
GGGCUCUUGGUUCAGUGGCUAGAACGCCACCUUGACAUGGUGGAGGUCACCGGUUCGAUUCCGGUAGAGCCCA